CGCACCCGGGUCCCUAAAACCCAGGUGUGACAUGAUAAGACCCUGAAGCUGUUCUAAUGGAAUGCAGCGUCAGAUCCCAUAGACCUUUGGAUUAAGGUUUGAAUAAGCACAAGAAGGGAGAAAUAUCCCUUUUAUCCCCUAAUUGCAUGGAAAACAGGGCCAAUCACUUGGUAACGGUGCCAAAGAAUCUCCGAAGCCCUUGGUUGUAGGUUUUAUUUUGAUGAAGUAAAGAUGAAGGUAUGUGAAACCUUUGUUUUUGACUAGGUAAAACAUAUAUCUUAUUUUUACUAGCAUGUGUGCUGAAAUCGAGGGCUAAAAGGGCUUCUUCAUUGUAUUAAAAUGUUUUAACCUUUGGUUUAUGGCCAAGAAUAUAACAAUUUUAUCACUUUGUUA
rnacentral:lncRNA from 7 species